CUGUCACACAGACUACAGCGUAUAUCAGCACAGGUGUCUCCUGGGAGGAAGGCUGCAAUCUGAGAGAUGAAGAGGAUGUCAGAGUGAAUAUCCACCAACAGCAUCUGAAGAUCACCUCUGACAACCAGCCUGCCUGCUGCUUCACACUCUAGGAGGUUUAAGGUGAUCCUGCUGUGGUGUCUGGGUGUGAAGGAUUGCCAGUGACUUGGGUUCCACAGAACUGAUUGGGUCCAACCAUAGCAUAAAGGCCAGUUUGUUCCAGCUCCACUCCCAACUCCCAACCAACGUACCAGCUAGCAUGUGUUGGGUGGUUACGUUUUCAAAAAGUGACUCCUCUCUGUAAGGGAACAAGUGGACCCAAACCAUGCCAGCAGAAUGCGGCACACAGUAUAACAGACCCACCAGACCCCUUCACUCUAGGAGUCAAGCAUUCAUAU